CCAUAAAACCUCUCUAUCUCUUUAACUCUCUUCUUCUCCCUCAUUGUUGCAGGCUUCUACUUUUUAUUUUUUUAGAAAACUAAUCUCUAACUUUUCCCAACAUUUCAAAAUGAACCCCAAUAUUUCGACCAUCUUAUCAAUUACACCCUCUCCUUAGCUUCAUCAAUCUUCACCCUCCCAAUGGACUCCAUAUUCACUUCACCAUGCCUCUCUCAAAUCUCUCCACCCAAUUUCAGAACAAGGCACCUUAUCAGAACCCAUAAAUUUACCAAAAAACCCCUCAAAACCCUCCCCAUUAAGCUAAAGUUUGAUGCGUUUGCCUUCCGAGGAACUCCCCACAGCUCCAAACCUGUAAAACAUCAGAAUUUGAUACUACCCAGAAGGGAGGAUAUGGAAAAAGAAGCCAAAAUCUCGUCUGGUUAUUUUUCAUUUCAAUCCUUAGUUAAGAAUUUAGCUUUUACUUUGCUUUGUUUUGCUGUUGGGCUAUCAAAUUUGAGUCCAAAUGGGGAGUUUAAAGGUGUGGCAAUGGCUGCAGUAGUAGAAAAAGUGACAGUGAAGGGGAAAGAAGAAGAAAAGGAAGGGACUUUCAGGAAAGAUGAGCAUGAGUUUUCGGAUUAUACGAGAAAGUUAUUGGAGGUGGUUUCUGGGUUGUUGAGGAAGGUAGAGGAGGUUAGAAAUGGAAAUGGUGAUGUUAAGGAAGUUGGAGAAGUGUUAAAAGCUGUGAGAGUGAAGAAAGAGGAGUUGCAAGGGGAGAUAAUGAGGGGCUUGUAUAUGGAAUUAAGGGAGCUGAAGAGGGAGAAAGAGGAGUUAGAGAAAAGGGCUGAGGAGAUUGUGGAUCAAGCGGUGAAAGUGGGGAGAGAGAAGGGGAAGGUGGUCGGUGGGAGAGGGGGGAAAGGGAAGGGGAAGGAUAGAGUGGAUAAGUUGGAAGAGGGAUUGGAGAGAAUGGAGGAGGAGUAUAGUGGGAUGUGGGAGAGAAUUGGAGAGAUUGAGGAUGAGAUUUUGAGGAGAGAGACAACCGCAUUGAGUAUCGGUGUGAGGGAGCUUUGUUUUAUUGAGAGGGAAUGUGAGGAGUUGGUGCAAAGAUUUAAUAGCGAAAUGAGGCGGAAGGAGCAUUUUCAGGGCACCCUGAGAGGCUCUAUUACAAAUCUUUCAAGGUCUGAAAUUCGAGAUGAACUGGAAGCAGCACAACGAAAACACUUUGAACAGAUGAUUUUGCCUAGUGUUGUGGAGGUUGAAGAUCUUGGACCAUUCUUUAAUGAAGAUUCUGUGGACUUUGCUUUACGUAUAAGACAAUGUCUUAAAGAUUCUAGGGAGAUGCAGAGGAACCUGGAGUCUCGCAUAAGAAGAAGGAUGAAAAAAUUUGGUAGCGAAAGGCGUUUUGUUGUAAAAACUCCUGAGGAUGAAGUUGUGAAAGGAUUUCCGGAAGCUGAAUUGAAGUGGACGUUUGGAGAUAAGGAGGUUGUUGUUCCUAAAGCCAUUAGUCUCCAUUUGUAUCAUGGAUGGAAGAAGUGGCGUGAAGAAGCUAAAGUAGAUCUAAAAAGACGCUUGUUGGAAGAUGCCGAGUUUGGCAAACAUUAUGUAGCUCAAAGACAGGAACGCAUUCUCUUGGAUCGAGAUAGAGUGGUUGCAAAGACUUGGUACAAUGAAGAGAGAAGCAGGUGGGAAAUGGAUCCCAUGGCUGUUCCUUACGCUGUGUCUAAGAAGUUAGUAGAGCAUGCUCGAAUUAGGCAUGACUGGGCUAUGAUGUAUAUUGCGUUGAAAGGGGAUGACAAGGAAUAUUUUGUUGACAUCAAGGAAUUUGACAUGCUAUAUGAGAAUUUUGGAGGGUUUGAUGGGCUAUACAUGAAAAUGCUUGCUUGUGGUAUCCCAACUGCUGUUCAAUUGAUGUAUAUCCCUUUGUCAGAGUUGGAUUUUCGUCAGCAGUUUCUCUUGACAAUAAGGCUGGCUCAUCAAGGCUUAACUGGGUUAUGGAAGACAAAAUUUGUAUCAUAUGGAAAAGAUUGGGUUUAUCAGAAAAUUAGAAAUAUAAAUGAUGACAUAAUGAUGGUGAUUGUGUUCCCACUCAUUGAAUUUAUCGUUCCUUACCCGGUGAGAAUGCAGUUGGGGAUGGCAUGGCCAGAGGAAAUAGGUCAAACUGUCGCCUCCACAUGGUACCUAAAAUGGCAGUCUGAAGCAGAAAUGAAUUUCAAGUCCAGAAAGACAGAUGACUUAAAAUGGUUUCUUUGGUUUCUCAUUAGAAGCACUAUAUACGGAUUUAUUUUAUUUCAUGUGUUCCGCUUCCUCAGAAGAAAAGUGCCAAAAGUUCUUGGUUAUGGACCUAUACGAAAAGAUCCAAACAUAAGAAAAUUGCGGAGAGUGAAAGGCUAUUUUAAUUAUAGGCUGAGGAAGAUCAAACGUAAGAAAAAGGCUGGCAUUGAUCCCAUAAGAACUGCUUUUGACGGAAUGAAGAGGGUAAAAAAUCCUCCAAUCCCCUUGAAGGAUUUUGCUAGCAUUGAGUCCAUGAGAGAGGAAAUCAAUGAAGUAGUUGCCUUUUUACAGAAUCCUGGUGCAUUCCAAGAAAUGGGUGCCCGUGCACCUAGGGGAGUUCUUAUAGUUGGAGAGAGAGGAACAGGAAAGACAUCUCUAGCGCUAGCCAUAGCUGCCGAGGCUAGGGUACCAGUUGUCAAUGUUGAAGCGCAACAAUUGGAGGCUGGGCUGUGGGUUGGCCAAAGUGCAUCAAAUGUUAGGGAACUUUUUCAGACAGCGAGGGAUUUGGCACCCGUAAUUAUAUUUGUAGAGGAUUUUGACCUCUUUGCUGGUGUCCGUGGAAAGUUUAUUCACACAAAAAAGCAGGACCAUGAGGCCUUCAUCAAUCAACUUCUUGUGGAACUUGAUGGGUUUGAGAAACAAGAUGGGGUUGUUUUGAUGGCUACCACUAGAAAUAUCAAGCAAAUUGAUGAGGCCUUACAACGGCCUGGUCGUAUGGAUAGAGUAUUUCGUCUUCAAAGGCCAACUCAAGCAGAAAGGGAGAAGAUACUACGGAUUGCUGCAAAAGAAACCAUGGAUGAGGAGCUUAUAGAUCUGGUAGACUGGAAAAAGGUUGCUGAGAAGACUGCUCUUUUGCGGCCUAUAGAACUUAAACUUGUUCCUGUGGCCUUGGAAGGUAGUGCAUUUAGGAGCAAGUUUCUUGAUACGGAUGAACUUAUGAGCUACUGUAGUUGGUUUGCGACUUUCAGUGGCUUGGUCCCAAAAUGGGUGCGGAAUACCAAAAUUGUCAAGCAAGUUAGUAAAAGGCUGGUGAAUCAUCUUGGACUAACAUUGACCAAAGAGGAUCUGCAGAAUGUGGUUGAUCUGAUGGAGCCAUAUGGUCAGAUAAGCAAUGGAAUAGAACUCCUAAAUCCUCCCCUUGAUUGGACAAGGGAGACUAAGUUCCCGCAUGCUGUUUGGGCCGCUGGUCGUGGUCUCAUCGCACUACUUCUACCAAAUUUUGAUGUUGUGGAUAAUCUAUGGCUUGAGCCUUGCUCAUGGGAGGGAAUUGGGUGUACAAAGAUUACUAAGGCAAGCAAUGAAGGGUCCAUGUAUGCCAAUGCUGAAUCAAGGUCUUACCUUGAAAAGAAGCUUGUGUUCUGCUUUGGGUCACAUAUUGCAGCACAACUGCUACUUCCUUUUGGAGAAGAAAAUUUUCUUUCUGCAUCAGAACUAAAGCAGGCUCAGGAGAUAGCUACAAGGAUGGUGAUUCAGUAUGGAUGGGGGCCUGAUGACAGUCCUGCGAUUUACUAUAGUAGUAAUGCGGUUACAGCUUUGAGCAUGGGAAACAAUCAUGAGUUUGAGAUGGCAACUAAAGUCGAAAAGAUUUAUGAUUUAGCAUAUCAAAAGGCAAAGGAAAUGCUUAAGAAAAACCGACGAGUUCUUGAAAAGAUUGUGGAAGAGUUGCUUGAGUUUGAAAUCUUGACUGGAAAGGAUUUGGAGAGAAUCCUUCAUGAGAAUGGGGGGCUUCGAGAGAAAGAGCCUUUUUUCUUAUCACGAGUUGAUUAUAGAGAGCCAUUGUCUAGCAGCUUUCUUGAUGAAGGGAGUGCAUCAGAAACUACCUUUUUAGAUGUUGCAGCUUAGGAUUAAAAGAAUUUGCUGCUCUUGCAUUCAUACCUUGAAAGGUGAAGAGUGCAAAUAUUCAUCCUUUUGAGCACAGGAUAUGCAAGUAGUUGUACAGGGGGUAAUCUUUCCUUGGGUUGAGAAGAGGUGCCAUAUUUUUCCUUCUCCACCGUUUUUCUGUUUUACUGUUAUUUAAGUUUUCAACUCUCAAGGGUCAUCUUCUUGGAUAUGAUAGCAAAGGAGUAAAAUCUUCAAUCCUUUGUUCACAAGGGAAUCACUCGAGGAACUUCAAAUCUCUGAAAGAUAGUGUUUUUCAUUUUUUAUGGCCGAAGUUUUGAUGAUUGCAGAUGUAGGUUUAUUGUGUCUGGGACAAGCGCUAGAAUGCUGUGUUAACCUUCUGUUCCUCAAUUCGUUUCUUUAUUUCCCAAAAGUUUCACUUGUUGCUGUUGAUUUAUUAACUAAUGGCAGGACCCAAGAUACUAGAAGAUAGAUAUCAAAUGUGACACCUGCAGCUUUAGUACUUAUAUAUCAUGUAAGUAUCAAUUGGAAGUCUUAUUACAAGAUCUCAUUGACUACAGUUUACAUUUA